rnacentral:lncRNA from 1 species
GGAGCACCGUUACGGUGGAAGAGACAGGAGGGGCUAACCCCAACCCACCCUGUCAACAUUCCCUAUGGGAGAAAACCAGAGUACCCAGAGAAAAUCCACGACUUUCAGCAGAGCGUUGGCGGACUCUUUUCACAAAAGUGUCAUGUGUCCGCUGCGUGAAUCGAAUCCAGGAUCUCGGAGGUGAAAGAGUCUCGGAGGCGCUUUCUCAGAUAACAGCGCCAGCUUCAUGCAUUGUCCUAGUAUUGCGACACCUACCUCUUUAAAUAGGGAAUAAAUGAACGCUAUUGUUUGUAUAGUUUUUCCCAAUCCCAUUUCAUCAGCAAGUAUAGUAUUGGUUCCUUGAACCCAGGAGAAUCGCAACCAGUUUAAACCUUCCAUUUGAUAUUUAUGUAAUGUUCCACCAGUUUUUGUUAUGAAAUCUGGCUGGGUCGCAUAUUUCCGUUUACA